GUGCCAGCAGCCGCGGUAAUACGUAGGGGGCGAGCGUUGUCCGGAAUCAUUGGGCGUAAAGCGCGCGUAGGCGGCCCGGUAAGUCCGCUGUGAAAGUCCAGGGCUCAACCCUGGGAUGCCGGUGGAUACUGUCGGGCUAGAGUCCGGAAGAGGCGAGUGGAAUUCCUGGUGUAGCGGUGGAAUGCGCAGAUAUCAGGAGGAACACCUAUAGCGAAGGCAGCUCGCUGGGACGGAACUGACGCUAAGGCGCGAAAGCGUGGGGAGCGAACAGGAUUAGAUACCCCCGUAGUCC
rnacentral:rRNA from 1 species